rnacentral:piRNA from 1 species
UGGAAGUAUGUCCCCAUGUCACAGGGUCUG